rfam:Cephalotus follicularis DNA, scaffold: scaffold666, isolate: St1.
AUGGAGGUGAUGAUUAUUUCCCCAAAUGAACGACGCUGAAUACAAUGUGCGAUUUUACAUUCUCUCUUUUGAGAUACCAAGCCAUUAGUCUGAUCCAU